rnacentral:misc_RNA from 1 species
AAGUCGUAACAAGGUUUCCGUAGGUGAACCUGCGGAAGGAUCAUUAAUGAAUAACUUGGUUAGGCUGUUUGCUGGCUCAUUCUGAGUAUGGUGCACGCCUGCCACUAGUUUCAUAACCCCUGUGCACUUUUGUAGGCUGAAGACACAUAAUCUCCUCGAGUAUUUUAAUACCCUUGGAGUGUUGAGAAUUGCUAGUUGGAGGUACAUUGUACGCGAUCAGCUUUUCUUGGUGUUUUUCAGUCUAUGUCUUUGUUUAUACACUCCAAAUGUAUGUAAAAGAAUGUAACAGUCUUAGGCCUU